AUCAAUAUUAAUAAGAUGUUAUGACUGCUUAGACAGGGUUGAUUUAGACAGAAGACAUAGUUUCGUGGAUUCACUGAUUAGUUAUCAUAAUUGUAUAUAUUUUGUAUCCAAGUAAUUUUUUCAAGAAAACAAAUAUUUUGUGCACAGGUGAUAUUUGAGGUGUAUAUAUAAUUGGAAGGGUGCUGUAAGAAAGGAACUCUCUCGCAAAGGGCUCCUAUUCAGUGGAUGACCUAGGAUUUCCAUUGAGGGGGUUGAAAAAAAAAACAUGCUAAUAGUGCGGACACAGAUCGGUUCAAAUAUGAAAAGGUCGGAUCAAAUAUAUAUAUAUAUAACAAAGAAGAAGAGGUUUUAUGUGGAGCAAUGAGCUUUUAAGUCAGAAUUCCAAUAUCAAAGUUAAACACUAUUUUCUUGAUUUGUGGGCUUUGAUCACCAUUGAAUUUUUCUCUUGGUACUAUAAAAAAAAUAGUUUGAUAAGCAUUCACUCAAACUCUAUUCUAACAAUUACACAAUCCGAAAAAUAGGGUCAUAGGGAUGUAAAUAUGGAGGGUUAGGAUUGGUGGGGCAAGCCAAAAAUGGAAGCUUUUAUACAAAUAAACCAGUAAACAACAAAUACCAGCAUGUCAGCAGCAGCAACCAGCAAGAAACACAAUCCAAAGUGAACGAGAAGAGAGAGCAAAAAGGGGAAAGAGCGCAAGAGACCAAGAAAGCGUCAGAUAGGAUUUUUUAAUUUUUUUGACUUUGUAAUUAGGGAUGUGAUAUAAAUCGAGACUGUCUUUUUUUCCAGAAAACGAGGCCGUUUCAUUUAUGUAGAAAAAAAUACAAAAAGCCUAAAGCUAAAUAUUGAAAAAUUGAUGCCGGCAAGAUUCGAACCUGCGCGUUCCUGCUAAUCCCUCAACCCCUUAGCUACUGAACCAUGUCCUUGACUUGUGUUGAGGGGUUUCAACAUUAAAUAAAUACACAUAAAAUAAAAGUUUGAUCCUAUAUAUCCGCCCUGCUCCUUAUCGUAUACCCCUUUGUACAGGGGAUCUUCCCAUUGUCUACUAGAUAUAUUUUAUCAACCUCACUAAUGCAAUUCCUUUUACAAAUAUAUAUUUCAUCUUACAUCAUGUUGCUCCUUUUCUUCUGUUAUAGAAUGAACAGAAAUUACUCCUAGUAAUGUACAUAGCCAUAUUUAGGCAGCAGAUCUAUAGAAAUGCUCUUUUAUUUCUUUUUAAGUCAGCACACAAUCUAUUGUAUUUAUACAUUGCUUACCUACUGGAAUAAGAUAUUUUCUUCCACUUGAUUACAUGGUAUCAGAGCCAUAGGGCAAGGGCUCGAUUCAUAUACAAAAUUGGGAAUUCGUCCACAGUUAUUGGAUAAAGGGAUUCGAUCAUUUGGGACACCUCUAGGGAGUGACUGGAUUGUCCUCUAUUAUCUUGUCACCCAUAUUAAAUCAACCAAAGUUGACCUUUAAUUUGAUUUCUAUUAGCAGAGUUACUAGAGACCUGAAUUGGUAUAUCUUGUCUCUUCCUGGAUCAUUAUUUGUUUCGUGAUCUUACAACAAAUCAGGUUAUUGGUAAAGGACAUUUAUCACAUGAUCUCUAUCAUGGUCUAUUGCCUGUUCUAUUGUCGUCUUCUUCCUCCAAGACCAUCCUGUGGUUGAUUCCAGCACUCUCAACACCAGAACUCCUUGAGAACUGCUCUGGCGUGUGAUAACCAGUUCCAUCUUGUGACAUCCCUGAAAAUUUUGGAGUAGAGAGAUUUACUAAAUCUAUCCUUGAGUUAUCCUGAAGACAGCUUGAAACAGACAACAGAGCUUUUCUCACAGUUGAAAGGGUUCCAGCAAUCUGCACACAAGGAUAUUCAGUGAACGAAAAAACUAUAUCCAGAGUAACAUAAUCAAAAACAAAACAGAGAUAAUCGAUGAAAUGAACAUAAAUAAUUCUCAAAUAAAGCUAAGAAAUCAACCCAGCAUGUGCCUCUGCUAUGAUGACACAUUUCGUAUAAUCAUCCCAGUAUUUCUUUUUUUUUUAAGUAAUACUUGUAACAUAAUUAACUCAGUAUAAAGUAGAGAGAUUGGACUUUUGGAGCAUACUUAAUUAACUCAGUAUAAAAUAGAGGGAUUGGACUUUUGGAGCAUAUUUGGUUUCCGGUAAUUGUUUAAAAGGAUCGACUCUCCAGCAUCUUGUUUCAUCAACCAAAUCAGCUUGCUCUAGUGAUGCAAUUAGAAAAGAAUAAAGAUGUAGAAGAAACUGUAGGAUUAGGAGAUCGAGGAGUUUGGUGAUAUUGUUCUACUGUACCUAAUCAACUUUUGAGGUGAGGGGAGCCAAACUUGGAGAUGGAAGGAUCAACUGAUAGUAAAAUCUCUGUUAUUCUAUCAAUAAGUACCUAGCCAAGAGAGAUGCAAUGGACUUUCUCCUUUACAUCAGCAUUAACAGCUGCAAGUAAUGUGGGUCCUUCUGUCUCGUGCAUGCACCUCCUUGCCUCUGAGUUAAGAGUCCAAAGGUCAACCUUUGGAUGUUGUCAAGUGGCACUUUGGUUAUGAAGGUUGAUUAAAUCAGUUGGUACAUUCCCUCCAACUCAUCAAUAUUAAUAAGAUGUUAUGACUGCUUAGACAGGGUUGAUUUAGACAGAAGACAUAGUUUCGUGGAUUCACUGAUUAGUUAUCAUAAUUGUAUAUAUUUUGUAUCCAAGUAAUUUUUUCAAGAAAACAAAUAUUUUGUGCACAGGUGAUAUUUGAGGUGUAUAUAUAAUUGGAAGGGUGCUGUAAGAAAGGAACUCUCUCGCAAAGGGCUCCUAUUCAGUGGAUGACCUAGGAUUUCCAUUGAGGGGGUUGAAAAAAAAAACAUGCUAAUAGUGCGGACACAGAUCGGUUCAAAUAUGAAAAGGUCGGAUCAAAUAUAUAUAUAUAUAACAAAGAAGAAGAGGUUUUAUGUGGAGCAAUGAGCUUUUAAGUCAGAAUUCCAAUAUCAAAGUUAAACACUAUUUUCUUGAUUUGUGGGCUUUGAUCACCAUUGAAUUUUUCUCUUGGUACUAUAAAAAAAAUAGUUUGAUAAGCAUUCACUCAAACUCUAUUCUAACAAUUACACAAUCCGAAAAAUAGGGUCAUAGGGAUGUAAAUAUGG
rnacentral:lncRNA from 1 species